rnacentral:rRNA from 1 species
AUGUCUUCCUCCGGCUCCUUCUCGCCUAGUCUCAAUAGUCAGGUUAUAGAGAAGCUGUCUCGCACGAACUACGUGCUGUGGCGCACACAGAUCACACCUCAACUGCGCGGUGCCGGUGUCUUCGGCUACGUCGACGGCACCAUCCCGGAGCCGGCCAAGCUCCUCGUCACCACCAAGGAUGGCAAGGAGACUUCACCGCCCAACCCUCUCCACCCUAUAUGGGUACGGGAGGAUCAGCAGGUCCUUGGCUACCUGCUGAACAACCUCACAAAAGAGGUCCUGGUCACAGUCACCACGGCAAGCGCGCUCUGGACGAUGCUUGCUGCCAUGUUCUCGUCACAAUCGGCGAGCCGCAUCAACAACAUCAGCACCUCCCUCAUCAAUGCGCAGAAGGGUAACCUCUCGGUUGCCUCCUACUUUGCCGCAAUGCAUGGCUAUGCCGACGAACUGGCCGCGGCGGGCAAGGCCAUCCAGGAUGAUGAGCUUGUCUCGUACAUCAUUCAUGGAUUGGAGGCGGACUACCAACCUCUGGUGUCGGCUCUCGACGCCCGUGUCACCCCUGCAACCCUCGAUGAGCUCUUCACCAUGCUGUCCAACUUCGACCAGCGCAUGGCCCAGUACCACGACUCCGGCGGCUUCAAGUCUUCUGCAAACAUGGCGUCUCGUGGCCGGGGUGGUGGAUCCCGCUCGCGUGGCUCUCCUCGCUACAAAGGGCGAUCUGGUGGCGGUGGCGGGAACGACCGCGGCCACUCUCCUCAGCGCUCGGGCAGCCGAGGCCGCGGACGCGGUGGCAGCAACAUAACGCGCCCGAAGACUCCAAGGUGCCAGAUCUGCAGGAAGCCCGGUCACACAACAAAAGAUUGCUGGUGCCGGUAUGAUGAUGAUGAUGAUUCUCAAGACGAUGACAAGGUGGCUGCCGCCGCCGAUGACUCCUACGGCGUUGACACAAAUUGGUACGUUGACAGCGGGGCUACAAACCACAUCACGAAUGAGCUUGAGAAGGUAACCAUGAAGGAAAAAUACUGCGGCAAAUAUCAGAUCCAUAGUGCCAGCGGAGAAUGUAUGGGAAUAAGUCACAUCGGUCACUCUAUAUUUCGUACCCCUAGUCGCAAACUACACAUUAAGAAAAUCUUGCAUGUCCCUAGUGCACACAAAAAUCUUCUUUCCGUCCAUAGAAUUGCCAUUGAUAAUCAUGUUUUUCUUGAAUUUCAUCCUUUUUUCUUUUUGAUCAAGGAUCAGGCAACGAGGAAAAUCCUCUAUCGAGGUAGAUGUGUUCGAGGGCUCUAUCCGUUGAUUCUGGAGUUUAGAAGAUUCAAUAAACAAGCUUGUGGUGCUAUCAAGCUUUCGUCCACACGAUGGCAUGAUCGUCUAGGACAUGCCUCUUUUUCUUAG